rnacentral:tRNA from 1 species
CAGGGAAUAGUUUAAUUAGAAUGUCAGCUUUGGGUGCUGGUGG